rnacentral:tRNA from 1 species
GGUGGCUCAAUGGUAGAGAGCUUGCCUUGCAUGCAUGAGACCCUGGGUUCAAUUCCUCAGCACCA